UUCUCUAUCGGGAUCUUAGACUAUAAGCAACACUGUCUCAUUAAAAAGAACGAUUUCAUUGGGGGAUAUUGGGAUAUGACAACUGACAAGAAGACAUAGAUACAAAAAUGGCGUCGGCGUGACUAUUUCCAUCAUAGCAUAUUAGGUCUAUUUUCUAUUUUGUGUUGUGUGGUUUUGUUUUCAUAUAAAAAUAGAAAGCAAAUAGCGGAAAAUACUAUUGAUGACCAGCAUAGAGAAAGGAUUAUUUGUCUAUGAUGACCAGUGGAAACGAUACUGAAGGGGAAUAUUUGGUAACAUCUAGGGGAUUUUCAACAAAGCUACAAUGUCAUGUGGUCACUAUGUCUUGGAACGAUUUCAUUGGGGGAAUUCAUAUCAUGUGACAUUGACAUAACAAUGGCGUCGGCGUGACUAGUUAUCUACCAUGGUUUUGUAUAUACUUGUUUUAAAUAUGAAAAUGGAGAGCAAAUGGUGGAAAAGUCUAUUGUUGACCAUCAGAAACGAUAUUAUGAAAGGUAACUGAACAUACUUCGAUGGAUGUUAUUAUCGGGUGUUAUAAUUGGAUGAAGGAAUGUGAUGGGAUAUUACAAAAAAUACCUAGAUAGGUCUUGCAAUAUACAGAGAAUAAGUCUGGUCGAACCUGAGGAGGUAGCUGUUAAAUACCAACAAUUAUUUAUUUUACACCCAUGUGGUAACCAUGAACUUUAUGGAUCUGAUUUUCGUUGGAUGUUACCAUCUGGUGUAGUAAUUGGUCAUAGGAAUCUAAUAUGGGAUAUUAUAAAAACAAAAAAAACCAUACAAUGGUCUUGCACUCUACAGAAGAUAAGUCUGGAUGCAAUCAGAUCAAAAGAAGGCUGCUGUUGAAUAAAUACCCACAAAUAUUCAUUUUCUGAUCAUUUGUUUUUGAAGUCUUCCCUGUAUUGGCUCUACUUCUGUAGUCUGAUAUAGGAGUUGAUUUGAAGGAUUGUUGGAAUGUCUCCAUUUGGUGAUUUUUCUUAGACAAGUUUCUUUUCUUAUCUCAAAAUUCUUGAUUGUUGUUUUAGGGUUAUUUAGGAAUGCUGCCCAUACUCUGAUAAUGGCCUGCAGAUCAUUUUGUAGAUUGUGCUUGCUGGUUUGCUGCUGAUUAAUAACUUUUUAUGUGAGCGAUCUAAAGUAACCCACUCGGGUAAUAGUUGUCUUCUUUUGUAGCUUGAUGUGAGUUUUAAAAUUCAUCUUGAUGUCCACUUGUACACUUGAUAAUUGCACCUUUCUGUAGGUGUAAUUGUGUUAUUUCCAAGUACAUAUAAUAGUUUGAGAUCUUGUGUUGAAAUAUUACUAAUUUUGAUUUUAUUAGAUUGGGUUGCAUACUCUAACGUCUCAUCAAUGCUACAUUCUUGUAAUUGCUACAUACAUUUGUUGAAUGUGGUACUUUGUGAAAGCAAAUUUGUAGCAUAUAUAAGCUGCCUUGUUCUAACUAUUCAUGUCUUGGCAAUUAUACAGCAAUGGAGCAAGUGGUGAACUUUGUUGCGGACCUUGUGGUGUGAAUGGUUCCGAAAUUUUUUCUUUUACUUCUUUUUUCUUCUGGACGCAAGAUAUGGACUUGUAACCUCAUUAUGAGCCUCAUUAUGAUUUGAAUUUUUUUAUAGAGAUUCAAUUUUUCCUAUAUUUCGAGUUCUAAUUUUGUUAAACUAUGAGAGGUUUAUAUUUUCAACAAAAAAUUUGAUAAUUUUCUCGAGACUGCCACUUCUUCUGGACAUAAGCCUACGCACUUGAAACUUCACUAUGGUCUAGAUUAGAACUCGAUCUCCGAAAAUUUCUAUAUCGAAAAAUUAUACUAGAUUUUUCCAUACAUCUUAAAAUUUUUUUUAACGAAAAAUUAAAAAUUCCUAUAUGGGAAUCCAAUAGAAUUCUAUCAAUUGAUUCGAUAGCGUAGAUUACCAAAAAGAUCUCACAGUUGUGCGAUUUGUCCAUCAUUCUAAAAUCGAUCAUUUUCUCGAGGUCAACACCUCUCCUAGCAGCAUGAUACGGCCUUGAAACUUAUGUUUUAGAUCCGAGCUUGAUCUCUAAAAAACGUUUCUAUUUGCCGAUUUUACUAAUUUUUCUCAAAAUUUCAAAAUGGCAGAAAACUUGCAAUGCAAUACACUGAAAUCUUAUCACUACUUAUAUAGAAGUUUGAGAAUGAUUUAUUUAGGUAAUUUUGAGUCAAUCUCAAGUAAGAAUUAAUUUUCAAGGAAAAUAAUGAAUGUAAAUAUGUGAAAAUAAUAGUCGAGCUUCGAAUAAUUCACAAUGAAGAAAAAGUUCACAGUUUAUCUCAAGACAUGGCUGGACUGUUGGAAAAAGACUCGAAAGAAAAGGACACAAUAGCAAAAUGUGAGAUGGAAAUGGCUGCGAAAAAUUGUGGAAAGCUUUCUGUUAUAGAAAGAUAUUAAGUUACGUUUGCAACCAACCAUACAGUUAGGUAAAUGAUGUGUAAUCGUUCUUUCUAUGAGCAUGCGCAUUGUACAGCAGCAUGAUAGUCGAGCAUGUGAAUGUUCUAAGAUAGAUAUCGAUGUAUGAUGGCUGACGAAUAAAGAUUUACGUUGUC